UGCCUGCCCAGUGACCAUGUGUUCAACGGCCGCGGUAUUCUGACCGCGCGAAGGUAGCGUAAUCACUUGUUUUUUAAUUAAAGACUAGUAUGAACGGCCGCACGAGGACCUAACUGUCUCCUUUGUCCAAUCAGUGAAACUGAUCUCCUCGUGCAGAAGCGAGGAUUUCUCCAUAAGACGAGAAGACCCUAUGGAGCUUUAAACUUUUAUUAAUUAUUUUCUUCCCCUCUAAGGAGCUACAGCCAAUUUAAUUUAUUUAAUAAAAGUUUUAGGUUGGGGCGACCAUGGAAAAAAAAAAAUCCUCCCUGAUGAUAACCUAACCAAAAGCCACAGCUCUAAGUAUUAAAACACUUGACUCCUAUUGACCCAUUUUAUGAUCAACGAACCAAGUUACCCUAGGGAUAACAGCGCAAUCCAUUUUAAAAGUCCCUAUCGACAAAUGGGUUUACAACCUCGAUGUUGGAUCAGGGCAUCCAAGUGGUGCAACCGCUACUAAAGGUUCGUUUGUUCAACGAUUAAAGCCCU
rnacentral:rRNA from 1 species